UACGUAGGGGGCGAGCGUUGUCCGGAUUUAUUGGGCGUAAAGAGCUCGUAGGCGGCUUAGCAAGUCGGGUGUGAAAACUCCAGGCUCAACCUGGAGACGCCACUCGAGACUGCUAUGGCUAGAGUCCGGUAGGGGACCACGGAAUUCCUGGUGUAGCGGUGAAAUGCGCAGAUAUCAGGAGGAACACCGAUGGCGAAGGCAGGUCACUGGGCCGCAACUGACGCUGAGGAGCGAAAGCAUGGGGAGCGAACAGG
rnacentral:rRNA from 1 species